ACUCCUGCGGGAGGCAGCAGUGGGGAAUAUUGGACAAUGGGCGCAAGCCUGAUCCAGCCAUGCCGCGUGAGUGAUGAAGGCCCUAGGGUUGAAAAGCUCUUUCACCGGUGAAGAUAAUGACGGUAACCGGAGAAGAAGCCCCGGCUAACUUCGUGCCAGCAGCCGCGGUAAUACGAAGGGGGCUAGCGUUGUUCGGAUUUACUGGGCGUAAAGCGCACGUAGGCGGACUAUUAAGUCAGGGGUGAAAUCCCGGGGCUCAACCCCGGAACUGCCUUUGAUACUGGUAGUCUUGAGUUCGAGAGAGGUGAGUGGAAUUCCGAGUGUAGAGGUGAAAUUCGUAGAUAUUCGGAGGAACACCAGUGGCGAAGGCGGCUCACUGGCUCGAUACUGACGCUGAGGUGCGAAAGCGUGGGGAGCAAACAGGAUUAGAAAUCCUGGUAGUCCC
rnacentral:rRNA from 1 species